rnacentral:lncRNA from 1 species
UCACACAUCCUAUUAAAGCUUAAAAGAAGUGUUCUUGUCACUUUUGUUUUUGGGUUUGAAAAAUCACCAAGAAUAUAUAAAUCUUGAAAUUGUGCUCAUGGUUUUGUUCUUGGUGUUCAUGGUUUGGUUUUGGGUGAAAAUGGUUUUAAUUGAUUUUCAUGCAUGGUUUUAUGGUUUUGGAUGAUGUUCUUACCAUCCAUAACCAUUUUAAAAACUUAUAAAACCCUAGACUUGACUAGGAGGAUUUCCAUCACCCAUCUCACCUAAGUUUUAAUGGCAAAAACCAAGUGACAAGUAAAAUUUAAUUUUUCUUACAUAAUGUGGCUUUUAAUGCAUGUUGUGUAAGAUUGUGUAAGACAACUCCCAUCCCCUUAAUGUGGCCGGCCUCCCUAGUGGAUUUAUCCACUUGUGGGGCUAUUUUGUAAUCUUUAAAAAGUUGAUAUUUACUUUGAAAUAUUUACGGUUUUACCCCUAACUUUUCAUAUUUACAUUUAGGCCCCUACUA